GUGAAUCAUCGAAUCUUUGAACGCACCUUGCGCUCCUUGGUAUUCCGAGGAGCAUGCCUGUUUGAGUGUCAUGAAUCUCUCAACCUUUUCAGUUUUUAUUAACUGGUCUGGCUUGGAUUGUGGGAGUUGCUGGCUUUAUCAAAAGUUUGCUCUCCUUAAAUGUAUUAGCAAUAUCUUUGCUGACCAUCUCUGGUGUGAUAAUUAUCUACGCCAUUGGGAAAUCAGCAUAUGCUUCUAAUAGUCCGUUUGGACAAUUUUUGACAAUUUGACCUCAAAUCAGGUAGGAUUACCCGCUGAACU
rnacentral:misc_RNA from 1 species